rnacentral:tRNA from 3 species
GGGGCUAUAGCUCAGCUGGUAGAGCGCCUGCCUUGCACGCAGGAGGUCAGCGGUUCGAUCCCGCUUAGCUCCA